UACGGGGGGGGCAAGCGUUGUUCGGAAUUACUGGGCGUAAAGGGCUCGUAGGCGGCCAACUAAGUCGGAUGUGAAAUCCCCAGGCUUAACCUGGGAACUGCAUCCGAUACUGGAUGGCUUGAAUCCGGGAGAGGGAUGCAGAAUUCCAGGUGUAGCGGUGAAAUGCGUAGAUAUCUGGAGGAAUACCGGUGGCGAAGGCGGCAUCCUGGACUGGCAUUGACGCUGAUGAGCGAAAGCCAGGGGAGCAAACGGG
rnacentral:rRNA from 1 species